AGGGAAUGGAAGUCAAAGCCUGCUGACAACUUGAACCCAAUCGAGGCAUUCACUGGGCUGUAUCAACCCUUAGAAACAUCCACUUUCUCAGAAAAGGAGCUACAAAGAGGAGAUGCACUGGAUGCUACAGAAAAUUCAGAAAAUACCUAACGAGUCGGGAAACGGAUAAGAAAGUGAAAAAAGUUAUUACUGAAUGUAACAAGUGUAAAAAAGCUUUAUGCCUGAAAUGUUUCAAUGAAAUACACGAAUGAGGCAGUUUUUAA